UACGUAGGUGGCAAGCGUUGUCCGGAAUUAUUGGGCGUAAAGCGCGCGCAGGCGGUUCUUUUAAGUCUGAUGUGAAAGCCCACGGCUCAACCGUGGAGGGUCAUUGGAAACUGGGGAACUUGAGUACAGAGGAGGAAAGCGGAAUUCCACGUGUAGCGGUGAAAUGCGUAGAGAUCGGGAGGAACACCUGUGGCGAAGGCGGCCCCCUGGGCCGGCCCUGACACUGAGACGCGAAGGCGUGGGGAGCGAACGGG
rnacentral:rRNA from 1 species